GACGAACGCUGGCGGCGUGCUUAACACAUGCAAGUCGAACGGAAAGGCCCUGCUUUGGUGGGGUGCUCGAGUGGCGAACGGGUGAGUAACCCGUGAGUAACCUGUCCUUGCCUUUGGGGUAACUUCAGGACACUGGGUGUAAUCCCGGCUAGGAGCUCUCGCUGCAUGGUGGGGGUUGGAAGGUUUCGGCGGUUGGGGAUGGACUAGCGUCGUAUCGGGUUGGUGGUGGGGUAGUGGCUUAGCAAGACUUUGACAGGUAGCCGGCCUGGUAGGGUGACCGGCUCAGCUGGGACUGGACUAAGGCCCAGCCUCGUACGGGACGGAGCAGAGGGGAAUAUUGCACAAUGGGCUGAGGCCUGAUGCAGCAACGCCGCGUCCGGGAUGACGGCCUUCGGGUUGUAAACCGCUGUCCCCUGUGACGAAGCGUUAGUGACGGUAAUGGGUAAAGAAGCACCGGCUAACUACGUG
rnacentral:rRNA from 1 species